GGUGGUCAUCCUGGUCACGGACGUCUCUGUGGAUUCAGUGGAUGCAGCAGCUGAUGCCGCCAGGUCCAACAGAGUGACAGUGUUCCCUAUUGGAAUUGGAGAUCGCUACGAUGCAGCCCAGCUACGGAUCUUGGCCGGCCCAGCAGGCGACUCCAACGUGGUGAAGCUCCAGCGAAUUGAAGACCUCCCUACCAUGGUCACCUUGGGCAAUUCCUUCCUCCACAAACUGUGCUCUGGAUUUGUUAGGAUUUGCAUGGACGAGGAUGGGAAUGAGAAGAGGCCUGGGGACGUCUGGACCUUGCCAGACCAGUGCCACACCGUGACUUGCCAGCCAGAUGGCCAGACCUUGCUGAAGAGUCAUCGGGUCAACUGUGACCGGGGGCUGAGGCCUUCAUGCCCUAACAGCCAGUCCCCUGUUAAAGUGGAAGAGACCUGUGGCUGCCGCUGGACCUGCCCCU
rnacentral:sRNA from 1 species